AGUGAACGCUGGCGGUAGGCCUAACACAUGCAAGUCGAACGGCAGCACAGAGGAGCUUGCUCCUUGGGUGGCGAGUGGCGGACGGGUGAGGAAUACAUCGGAAUCUACUCUGUCGUGGGGGAUAACGUAGGGAAACUCACGCUAAUACCGCAUACGACCUACGGGUGAAAGCAGGGGACCUUCGGGCCUUGCGCGAUUGAAUGAGCCGAUGUCGGGUUAGCUAGUUGGCGGGGUAAAGGCCCACCAAGGCGACGAUCCGUAGCUGGUCUGAGAGGAUGAUCAGCCACACUGGAACUGAGACACGGUCCAGACUCCUACGGGAGGCAGCAGUGGGGAAUAUUGGACAAUGGGCGCAAGCCUGAUCCAGCCAUACCGCGUGGGUGAAGAAGGCCUUCGGGUUGUAAAGCCCUUUUGUUGGGAAAGAAAUCCAGCUGGCUAAUACCCGGUUGGGAUGACGGUACCCAAAGAAUAAGCACCGGCUAACUUCGUGCCAGCCGCCGCGGUAA
rnacentral:rRNA from 1 species